rnacentral:hammerhead_ribozyme from 1 species
AUUCAGCUGACGAGUCCUAAAUAGGAUGAAACGCACUUCCUAGAU